CGGAAUUCGCCAGAGAUGGCUUAGUGCUCGAAAGAGAACCGUAACACAGGUGCUGCAUGGCUGUCGUCAGCUCGUGUCGUGAGAUGUUGGGUUAAGUCCCGCAACGAGCGCAACCCUUGUCAUUAGUUGCUACAUUUAGUUGGGCACUCUAAUGAGACUGCCGGUGACAAACCGGAGGAAGGUGGGGAUGACGUCAAGUCCUCAUGGCCCUUAUAGGUGGGGCUACACACGUCAUACAAUGGCUGGUACAAAGGGUUGCCAACCCGCGAGGGGGAGCUAAUCCCAUAAAACCAGUCGUAGUCCGGAUCGCAGUCUGCAACUCGACUGCGUGAAGUCGGAAUCGCUAGUAAUCGUGGAUCAGAAUGUCACGGUGAAUACGUUCCCGGGUCUUGUACACACCGCCCGUCACAC
rnacentral:rRNA from 1 species